rnacentral:rRNA from 1 species
UACAGAGGGUGCGAGCGUUAAUCGGAAUUACUGGGCGUAAAAGCGUGCGUAGACGGUUCUGUAAGUCGGAUGUGAAAAUCCCCCGGGCUCAACCUGGGAAUUGCAUUCGAGACUGCAAAGCUUGGGUGCGGAAGAGGGAAGCGGAAUUUCCGGUGUAGCGGUGAAAAUGCGUAGAUAUCGGAAGGAACAUCAGUGGCGAAAAGCGGCUUCCUGG